CAGACAAUGCUUUAUCCAUGAAUUACAUAUUACUCUUAAAUAAAUCUUGGUUUCUCAUCUUGUGACUUUGCAACAUCCACUGAUACAGACCAUAAAGUCAACACAAGGUGAAUCUGACUUAAACUACGGAAAAGAAACUGAAUCUUUGUGGACAGAAUGAUUAGCGUCCUGCCAUUUGCAAACAGAGUACAUGCCACACAGUGUGUCCUGUUGGGAAAUAAAACAGUACCAACUAGGAAAAGAAGAACCCAGCCAUACCUUGGAAGAUCGUUUCCAUUCAAGCAGACAGAACUUACAGAUGCUCUAAGAAAUGAUUUCACACUGUAGCUCAGACUGACCUGGAACUCACCAUGUAACCCAACCUUGCC